AAGCCCAAGAUGCCUAGCCGGUUUGAGAGAACGAUCGGCCACACUGGGACUGAGACACGGCCCAGACGCUUACGAGCGGCAGCAGUGGGGAAUAUUGGACAAUGGGCGCAAGCCUGAUCCAGUGAUAUCGCUUUAGGGAUGAAGGCGACAUACGUUGUAAACCUAAUGAAUUAUAUAUAGAUUAUGACCGUUUAUAAUUUAGAAGUCCCGGCU
rnacentral:rRNA from 1 species